rnacentral:misc_RNA from 1 species
AAAAGAAAAAAAAAAAAAAAAUGGGAACCCAGUUUUGCUAGUGGUAUUUUAGACAAAAUGUCCACUUCAACCCUCCAAUACAUGAAAAAUACACUUUGCCUGCUGCUCUGACCUCUGAUAGUGCUAUCCGUGCUAAGAAGCCAGGGGAGCUAGAUAUUGGCAUAUUACACCAACUGCAAUUUUUAUAUUGAGAUGGCUACCCAAAUUUUCAAUUCAAAGUGGGUCUUCGCUCUUUAAGCAUGUAAAUAUGAAAAGUUAAAUCAGAUUCUAAUAACACCAACAAAUAUUAUUAUUGGAGAGUGGAAGUAAAUUAUUGAGUGGCACAGAAAUAAUGUCACAUCGAUUUGUAAUUUGCAGCAGACAAAGUUCAUUCAAGCAUUAAGUUCUCAAUGCUUUUCUAAACCAAGGCUUGGAAUAAUAAGCCUAGACCCGGAAAUUAGAAGUACAUUUAUUGGGGCAAUCAGAUGAAGAUACCUCAGCAAGAAUAAUAGGAAAAGCUUGGACAACAUUCAAGAGAGGAAAAAUUAUGUAGCCAAUAGGCAAAAGAGACUUAAUUUUGAAAGGUUAAUUCUGAUUUCCACAUCCUGUUUUGACAAGGGCACAAAGAGACCAUCACCACCUUAAACAGGAAUUGCACCACAACAGUUACAAACAAUAUCUGAAGUGACAGAGAACAAGAACUGUACACAACAAUCCAGUUACUACUUUGGUUUCUUGAUUGGAAACAAUAAGCCUAGGGACACAAAGAAAAUUAGCAUAAGAGAACCGCAGACAAUAAAAAUUCAUUAAGAUCAGAAAUUAACCAGUAAGUUAUUAGGAAACUCAGCAAUAAUGACUAAUUGGUGGAAGUAGAACCAAUGUCUGAAAUGCUAUUUCUAAUUCCUCAACACGUCCAAGCUGAAGCUGAGAUGAGCUCCUUUCGCUGCCAACAGAGAACCAGUGAAGACUGCCUCCUUUCAACAUGAAAUCCCCUAACAGGAGUUCGCUGCACCAAACACUCAGCUUGUGAUUCAGCAAAGUUACUGAAUUGGAAUGGAGUGAACCCAGACUGCAGAAACAGACUCCUCCAAGGAGGAGUCCUAUCAGGGUGGCGAUGACGACCCAAUACAAUGUUUUCAAUACCGGGUUGAACCAAGAAUCUCUCAAUCUUUUGCAGCGCAUCAAGGUUCAUAUUCACAGCUUCCAAAGAUUCAAGCAGGCUGGAAUAAGAUUGAAUAGAAUGAUUUACAUGGUGGGCGAAAGGCAGGUCAGUUCGGUCGCAGCCCUUGUCCGAAGAGACCACAACUUUAGGUGAGAGCUGCUUCACAAAGCGAAGUGCCACUGGAAGAGAUGACGGGUAAUUUGAAAAGGGCCCAAUCGGAAGAUUCACAGCAAUUACUUCUGUCUCUGAUACACGACGAGGCAAUGACCAAGAACCAGAAGUUAAAGAUUCAAGGCCUAAAAUUUCAACCUCGAAUGGCAUGUUGAUUUCACUAGCGAAAAUUCUUAAAUUUUCUUCAGUAAAACUGAGUUCGACCUCAUCAUGUGAGGAAGGAGAAGCAAAGGCAGUGAUUUUAAGAGAAGGGACACCCCCGUCCCUCAUAGCCAACUCUUGCAUCAGAGAAGCCCAUUGCCCACCAAAACCAAUAUCAAAAUCAAUAACAUGAAUUCUAUCAAAGCCUUCGCAGGCCUCAAGGAGAGCUUGAUUACAAGUAAAAUUGGCAAACUGAAGAAUCGGCGAGAUCUCAGAGAAAGACUUGUAAGCACCAAUCUUGGAAAUAAGACUACAGGUGGACACACUGGAUGGGUUGGUAGUGUUGUUCAUGUGAAGAAGUAACUGCAAGGCCUCCUUGAAGUAAAAAGCAGCCCUCAUAUGAGGCUUGCCGAUCGAAAGAGAGAGCUGGUGAUUGAGCCGCGCCAAUAUCCCUUGCGCGAGAACCGGAUUGCCGGUUUCGAUCAGCUCUGCUGCCUGGCAUAUUGGGUUUAAUAUUGCCUGCUGAAGCUGUUGGGCCGCCAAUUCAUCCGUCAUAAUUUUUUGCUUCAUCAUUGCUGGUCUCUGCUGUUGGAGCAUUUGAAGCUGAUGUUGCUGCUGUUGCUGUCGUUGGAGGAAAAAGUCUGGCUUUGAAUCGGAAAACGGAACCUUUGGCACCUCAUAGUUGGCUCCAAUGGGCCCUGAACUAAGCCGCUUUGUUGGCGGCGGCGAUAAGAGAUGAAGCUCCUGCAACUGGGCAUAUGACAACGGCAAGAACAUAGCUGGAUUCUGGCCAAACUGAGCUGGAUUUUGGUCGGUUAUCACCUGUGGAUUGAAAAUCUGCGGCUUCUCCUCUGUAGCUUCAAUCGGCGGCAGCUGUUGAUGUUGAAACAUACCCAGCAAUAGGUUGCCAGCUGAAGUAGGAUUUACCAGGCUCGGGUUUUGGCUCAAUACCGAACCAAUCUUAGCAUUGUGGCUGAGAAGAGGGAACUCGGAAGAAGUUACAUGAACAGAAGGGUCAAUGCUGUUCACCAAGCUGCUACUAUUCAUGGGCUCAAAGCCGAAACCCUGAUCCACUACCCCAAAACCUUCAUUGAACUCCAUAUCUUGCGACCCAGUUCCACUUUGCAAGAGCUUGUUCAAUCCCAAAGUUGGGUCCUCAACAUCACCCAUAAUUAGCCUCAAAAUAGAUUGUUCUUGACUAGGAGACCCAGGCAAUAUCCCCUCCCAGUCCUCCAUUCCAAGCUGCCCACAUUUUUCCGUUGUUGUAUCUACAGAGGGAUAGCCGGAAACCGCCGCUGCCGCGCUGGUGGUGUUUUCGGUGGAGGCACCGCCACCGCCGUUACUGCCGCCUUGUGAAGAAGACAGUGUUGAAGAGGAUGUUGGAGGGCUCGGGCUUCUUCUAGCGUCAAGCACAGAUGUGGGCUCACUGCCCACAUAGCAGCAAUUUUCUUUGGUGUUGCUGUUUUGCCACUUCUGUUGCUGGUGCGGUUGAUUUUGUGGUGGUAGUUGAGAGAGAGAAUCUGGAGAAGAAGAAGAAGAGAAAUCUAACACCCCCGUCCCUUGAAAAUCCUCAAAGGGUAGGGGCAUGGCCUUCAUCCAAGAAAAUCAACAACAAGAACGUAAAGACCCAGAAUCCCAAGAAACCGAAACUCUCCAGUUUCCAAAAUCAAGAACCACCCACAACUCAAAAGGUUUUCCUUACAAAGGCAAAAUGUUUCAAUAUCAAAAAAAGAGAGGUUGAAGUUGGAAAAUUUGGGAAAACUAAAAUAAAAUAUUUGGGCCAGAUAAUUGGUUAUAUGCAUGCAGAAGUCAGGGGGGGAAAAACCAUUUUAGCACACACCUUAGCUUCUUCUUUCUUGGGCGUUCUAGCUCUCUCUAAUUUUUGCUGUGCAUGAAGAAAAAAUAAAAAAACUCAUUUUGGAACAACCAUCCUUAUCUCCCCUUGGUACUGUGGUUUAACUUUGGUAGGUUUUCCUCUCCUUUUUUCUUUUCUCCUACUGGUUUUUUAGUACUGUCUCCGUUCUAUUUCCUGCUAUAUGGAUGCGUGCAACAUAUAAAAGUGGUAAAGUGCCAUUCAAUCCCCCCCUCCCUCUCCUUCUCUCGCUCCUCUCUUUUUCUCUCUCUAAUUUUUU